rnacentral:tmRNA from 1 species
GGGGGCGACAUGGCUUCGACGCGGGUAGCAAAGCAAGAGGUGCAUGCCGAGAGGGUAGUGACUCUCGUUAAUCAAUCGCUGUAACUUUAAUAGUUGCCAACGACGAAAACUACGCACUAGCGGCCUAAACACCCGCUAACGUCGACGAUCCCUUUCCUGUGGGGUGACUUCGACGGCAAAGCAGCAGGAUCGCGCGGCGGCCUCGCUCGGGGCCAAGGCGUUAAAACCAAUCGAGCUCGCUGAAAACACCCUGACCGCCGGGUCGUUCGAGGCUAAAUCAAUAGACGGAAUCUAAGCAUGUAGAGCCGAAUGUGGCGUGCCAGCGGACGCGGGUUCGACUCCCGCCGCCUCCACCA